ensembl:lncRNA
GCCAGCUCCCUCUGCUUCUCGUUAGGACUUGUCACCUCCCCCGCCCGGCCCCUCCCUGUUGGGCAGCAGCACUCCUCACCGUCCUCCUGGGACCAUCACGGCCCAGAAAGUCCUGUCAGCUCAGCAGGGUCAAGCCAGGGAAGCUGCGCCUUCCAGAAAGGAGGGGGAAGAGGCCGAGCCUGGACUCUGGACCCGUGAGCCAGGCCCGAGCUGAGCCGCAGAUGCUGUCCAGCCACCUGAACCAGGUGGCCUGCGAGCCUUCCAUCUGUGAGCAGAGACCGGGUCAGAAGUCUCUCCUGCAGGCAGGCCUGCCCGCUGCACUGCAUGUUCAAGACCAGCUGUGACCAUCCUCGGAGCUUCAUGGGAAGCGCGCGCCGGAACCACUUUCCUCAGAGGAGCUGUGUGGACCUCCUCCUCGGCCUGCCUGUCGCACAUCCUUACAGCCCUCAGGGACAGAUAUUAUUAUCCCCAUCUUACAGGAGGACGGACGUGCCCCCGGCCCCGGUUACCGGAGCGUCAGGCUGAAGACCAGGCAGCUCGCGGCCUCGGCCCACAGCUUGUGCCGGUCAGGGAUCCGCAAAGGACUGCUCCUGUCGCUAUCAAACCCAGACCCCAAUUCCGCACCAACUGAGGGAAAAACCGACCGAUCUCCUUGUUUCAUCUACAUAAAGGCUGUGCCCACGUGCCCAGUGGGCGAUUUUUUUUCACUUUUUAAAACUGGGGUAAAAUACACAUAAGAUAAAAUUUACCACCUUAACUGUA